UGAACGCUGGCGGUAGGCCUAACACAUGCACGUCGAACGGCAGCACAGUAAGAGCUUGCUCUUACGGGUGGCGAGUGGCGGACGGGUGAGGAAUACAUCGGAAUCUACUUUUUCGUGGGGGAUAACGUAGGGAAACUUACGCUAAUACCGCAUACGACCCACGGGUGAAAGCAGGGGAUCUUCGGACCUUGCGCGAUUGAAUGAGCCGAUGUCGGAUUAGCUAGUUGGCGGGGUAAAGGCCCACCAAGGCGACGAUCCGUAGCUGGUCUGAGAGGAUGAUCAGCCACACUGGAACUGAGACACGGUCCAGACUCCUACGGGAGGCAGCAGUGGGGAAUAUUGGACAAUGGGCGCAAGCCUGAUCCAGCCAUACCGCGUGGGUGAAGAAGGCCUUCGGGUUGUAAAGCCCUUUUGUUGGGAAAGAAAAGCAGCAGGUUAAUACCCCGCUGUUCUGACGGUACCCAAAGAAUAAGCACCGGCUAACUUCGU
rnacentral:rRNA from 1 species